rnacentral:misc_RNA from 1 species
ACCCCUUCUUGGAUAAAGAUUUAUACGUAACAAGCCUAGUGCCGGAUCCACAGUGGUUCUUGGUCGCGUGCGCCGUUUGGGGGCUGUGCUUUGUCGGGGGUCUCAUGUCGUUCACUCUCUACCACGUCUACCCGUAUCUGUGAUCAGCGGUAACAUGGCCCAGUUCAAUAAGGACGAGUGGAUCGUUAUCGGUAUAUCCGGCGUUACAUGCGGUGGCAAAACGACACUCGCUAACAAACUGAAAGAGUCCUUAGUCCCCGUCUACGUGUUCCACCAGGACAAAUACUUCUACCCUGACGACAGCCCGAAUCAUAUCAAAUGCGUAGGUCUAGAACAUAACAACUACGAUAUCCUAUCUGCACUAGAUAUGGAGAAAAUGAUGCAGGAUGUUUUAGACACGUUGAAUGGAAAAGAUAAAAGUCACGCGAGUAACGUAGUGAAGAGUAAAGGAAAAAAAGAAAUUAAAGGAAAAAAGUUUUUGAUCGUCGAAGGGUUUACAGCGUUGAAUUAUAAACCGAUUUUGGAUAUUUGUAAUUUGCGUUAUUACUUCAUCCUGGAGUACGCGGCGUGCGCGUCGCGGCGCGCGCUGCGCCUGUACUCGCCGCCCGACGUGGCCGGCUACUUCGACGGCUGCGUGUGGCCCGCGCAUCUCAGAUAUAGGGCUGAGGUGACUCUAUACUAUACUAACUAGCGCUCCGCCUGUACUCGCCGCCCGACGUGGCCGGCUACUUCGACGGCUGCGUGUGGCCCGCGCAUCUCAGAUAUAGGGCUGAGGUGACUCUAUACUAUACUAACUAGCGCUCCGCCUGUACUCGCCGCCCGACGUGGCCGGCUACUUCGACGGCUGCGUGUGGCCCGCGCAUCUCAGAUAUAGGGCUGAGGUGACUCUAUACUAUACUAACUAGCGCUCCGCCUGUACUCGCCGCCCGACGUGGCCGGCUACUUCGACGGCUGCGUGUGGCCCGCGCAUCUCAGAUAUAGGGCUGAGGUGACUCUAUACUAUACUAACUAGCGCUCCGCCUGUACUCGCCGCCCGACGUGGCCGGCUACUUCGACGGCUGCGUGUGGCCCGCGCAUCUCAGAUAUAGGGCUGAGGUGACUCUAUACUAUACUAACUAGCGCUCCGCCUGUACUCGCCGCCCGACGUGGCCGGCUACUUCGACGGCUGCGUGUGGCCCGCGCAUCUCAGAUAUAGGGCUGAGGUGACUCUAUACUAUACUAACUAGCGCUCCGCCUGUACUCGCCGCCCGACGUGGCCGGCUACUUCGACGGCUGCGUGUGGCCCGCGCAUCUCAGAUAUAGGGCUGAGGUGACUCUAUACUAUACUAACUAGCGCUCCGCCUGUACUCGCCGCCCGACGUGGCCGGCUACUUCGACGGCUGCGUGUGGCCCGCGCAUCUCAGAUAUAGGGCUGAGAUAGAAAAAGACCGCCGCGUGAUUCUGCUGGACGGCACACGCCCGGACGUGUUCGAAACCGUUAUGAAUGACGUCACAGCGUU